AAUUUCAACUUUUUGUAUUUUGAACUAUUAAAAGAUCUAGACUCUCCACAGCAGUGGUUCCAAAACUUGAACAGUUUAUUUUGGUAUGUUAAAACUAUGGAAAAAUAUUAAGCGAUCAUGCUGAUAGAUUGAUUUAAUUAUGUUGUGGUCACUACGCACAUCGGCUUGCUACAGUUUUCGGUGGCCUACCCAUUUCCUAGCACCAGUCACGGGUCCACAGAUUGGGUCGUGAUAAAGUUGGUAUAAGAACCUAGAUUUACAUUUUCUUCGACCUAGCCUUUGCUAUGCCGAGGACUCCAGCGAUUGGAGCAGCAGCAGCUGCCCAAGAGGCCCAAGAUGUGGUUUCCACUCAAUCAGCUCCAUCAGCGCCAACCCGUGAUACCAGGAGGCGAGGUAGGCCUCGAGCAGCAUCCCAACCAGAUCAAGUAAGGCUUAGGAGGCAUACGAUGCUGGUGGAGUCCCAGUUGAAGCAUUUGUAGCCGAUAUGACUAGGAUGCAAAAGGCUUUAGUGUAGUUUUUGGGCUUUUUAGCAGCAGCAAGCUGCCUGGGGUUUAGGGAGCCACAGUAGUAGGUCCGGUAUCAGGAAUCCGGACGAGGUCCUCAUGUCUGAGUAUACUAAGUUGAGGCUUAUGGAGUUUGAUGGGGUAUCUGGGGACCUUUUGGACUUCCUAGACGAGGUUAAGAAGAGGGCAUCGAAUUUGCACUAUUCAGAUAAGAGGACUAUCGAGAUUGCAGGUUUUUCUCUGAAGGGGGUAGCAUCUUAGUGGUUCAGGAUUUUUAUUUAUCCCUUUUUGGAUGGUUUGUCAUGGAGACAGUUUAGGGGCAAGUUCGAGGAGUACUUCAUCCUUUUCAGUGUAAGGCAGGAGUAUAGAUAGAGGUUCGAGAGGCUAGUUAAGGGAGACCUGUCAGCGGCAGAGUAUACUAGGCAAUUUGUGCAGCUGAGUAGGUGUGCGUCCUAUGCUGUGAGAACUGAGGAGCAGAAGAACAACAAGUAUAUUUCGAGACUUGGUCCAGAGUUUGUCUCUUUAGUUCAGUCUAGGAGGAGCAGUUUCUUAAAGGUGACUGAUAUGACCAGGCAGAUAGAGAUGAACCUGCAGGGAUUUGGCUAGGGGACUAAUGAUGGUAAGAAAAAGAAGAUCAAGAUUGAGGGUCGGGAUAGUGCGCAGCCAGUUGUGCCGUUUUACAGCAGUGGAGGCUACUCCGGGGGUUUCGACCAGCAGGCCGAGCAAAGAGGCUACCGUAUUCACAAGAAGGAUAGACACAAUCGGAAGGGUAGUAGAGGAUUCAGACCAGGGCAGGGCUUCAGUGGUAGUGGGUAGAGUUUUGGCUACAACAGCUCUAGUUCUAGAGCCAACACGUGUCAGAUGUGCGGCAGGUCAAUCAAGGACCCUGCCUAGUCUCCAGUGGAGCCUGUUUCAAGUGUGGCGAGAUGGGUCAUAUGCCUUGAGCAUGUACUUGCUACUUCAGUCAACCAGCUUCACCUUAGGGCUUGUCUGCUAGUGCGACCCGACCAGCUUUUUCUACAGCUCUUGGAUAUUCUCAGGGUGGAUCUCAGUUUGUCGGCCAGUAGGGUCGUAGCUAUAGAGGUAGGCCUAUGGGAGGCCGAUCAUGGGGCAGAGUUCAAAAUCAGGCUUCAGGCUCUCAGUAGUUAGGCUAUAGGCAGGCGAGAGUGUUCACUCUGACCCAUCAGGUUGCGCGAGCCUCUAAUGUUGUGGUGUCAAGUAUUAUUCCUGUUUGUUAUUCUAAGGCUAGAGUUUUGUUAGACCCUGGGGUUACCCAUUCCUUUGUAUCGCCUAGUUUUGCCUUAAGGUUGGAUGUUCAACCGGUUGGACUUCAGGUUCCUAUGUCGGUCACAACGUCGUUAAAUGACGCCUUAGAGAUCGAUGUUGUGUUUCCAUCAUCUUCGGUGUCAGUUAAAGUUCGGGAUUUGAUUGCCAAUUUAAUUCUGUUGGAUGUAAUGGAUUUUGAUAUAAUUUUAAGAAUGGAUUGGUUGGCUAUGCAUUAUUCCAUAUUGGACUGCCGAAAAAAGCAAGUAACUUUUCGAAUUUCGAGAGACUCGGAGUUUCAUUUUAAAGGCGGGCAGGUACCUACUCUAUCGAAUCUCGUGUCAGCCAUUACGGCUAGAUGGAUGCUUCACUGUGGGUGUCAAGAUAUCUGGCAUUAGUCAGGGAUACCUCUGCAGAAAAAAGUAGAAUUGAGGACGUUCAGGUGGUCUGCGAGUUUUUCGAUGUAUUUCCAGAAGAGCUACCGGGAUUGUCGUGUGAUAGAGAGAUAGAAUUCUGCAUCAAUAUGGUACCGGGUAUGGCACUUAUGUCUUUGCCACCCCACCGAAUGGCACCAGCCUAGUUAAAGGAGCAGUUGCACGACUUCCUGAAUAAGAGUUUUAUCAGACCCAGUACGUCUCUGUGGGAUGCUCCUGUUUUGUUCGUGAAAAAGGAUGGUACCUUGUGCCUCUGUAUUGACUACCGGUAGUUGAAUAAAGCGACGAUUCGUAAUAAGUAUCUGCUUUCUCGCAUCGAUGAUCUAUUCGAUCAGCUUCAAGGAGCUGCAUACUACUCCAAGAUUGAUUUACGAUCGAGGUAUCACUAGUUGAGGAUCCAUGAGGAAGACAUUCCAAGGACGGUGUUCAAGACACGUUAUAUGGGCAUUAUGAGUUCUUGGUAAUGUCAUUUGGACUCACUAAUGCUCUUGUAGCCUUCAAAGGUCUGAUGAAUCCGGUGUUCAAGAUAUUCCUGGAUCGCUUUAUCAUUGUAUUCAUUGAUGAUAUCUUGGUGUACUCCAGAAGCAAAGAGGAGCAUGCGUGGCAUCUAAGAAUAGUACUUCAAAUGUUGAGGGAGCAUCGGUUGUACGCUAAGUUCUCCAAGUGUGAGUUUUGAUUAGAAAGCAUUGCUUUUCUAGGUCACGUGUCUAGAGAGGGUAUUCAAGUGGACCCCAAGAAAGUGGAGGUGGAGACUAACUAGCAGAAAUCAACCACGGUGACAGAGGUUUAUAGCUUUCUGGGUUUGGCAAGCUACUAUCAUCAAUUCAUGCACGACUUCUCGAGGAUCGCAUGGCCUUUGACUAACCUGACUCAGAAGAACAUCAGAUUCUAGUGGACUAACACCUAUGAAAGAAGUUUUAAGAGGCUGAAAGAUUGUUUAGCUCUAGUGUUGACCUUACCCUCUAGGACUGGUGGAUUCACGGUGUAUAGCAAUUAAAAAGGCAUGAACAGAAUUACCCUACUCAUGAUUUAGAGAUGGCAGCAGUAAUCUUUGCCCUAAAAACCUCGAGGCACUAUCUUUAUGGGGAAAUGUGCGAGAUAUAUACAGACCAUAAGAGUUUGAAGUAUAUUUUUCAGCAGAAAGAAUUGAAUUUGAGGCAAGGAGAUGGUUGGAACUUUUAAAAGAUUAUGAUUGUAAUAUUCUCUACCAUCUAGGUAAAGCGGAUGUCGUGGCAGAUGCCUUGAGUAGGAAAUCAGCAGGCAGUGUUGCUCAUAUCAGUGCGGAGAAAAGAUCUCUGACCAAAGAGUUGCACGAAUUGUGCAACUAAGGGUUGUAGAUGGAUGAUAGGCUAUUGUGUAGCUAUAAUCUAAGGCAGUGAACUUAUCGAUGCAGACUAGCACUAACGGUGAGUAUCAAGGUCGUAUUAUCGGGUAA